UCGAGGAUCAUUCGCAAUGCGCGAAAGCGUGACGGUGCGACGCCGCGUGCAGGAUGAAGGCCUUCGGGUCGUAAACUGCUGUCAUGAGGGAACAAUGUCCGGGAUGUUAAUAACAUCUCGGGGUGAUAGUACCUCAAGAGGAAGCCACGGCUAACUCUGUGCCAGCAGCCGCGGUAAUACAGAGGCGGCGAGCGUUGUUCGGAUUUACUGGGCGUAAAGGGUGCGUAGGCGGUUAUGUGUGUCGGAUGUGAAAUCUCACAGCUCAACUGGGGAAUUGCAUUCGAAACUGGAGGGCUGGAGUACAGGAGAGGAGGGCGGAAUUCUUGGUGUAGCGGUGAAAUGCGUAGAUAUCAAGAGGAACACCGGUGGCGAAGGCGGCUCUCUGGACUGAUACUGACGCUGAGGCACGAAAGCUGGGGGAGCAAACA
rnacentral:rRNA from 1 species